CCAAUUAAUCCCAAGGUGGAGUGCUCCGAAAUAAAACAGCGGAAAUACCUAUACAGAAAAAAACAUAGGUUUCUUUCCCCCUUACUUAUAUUCCCUAUCACAAAAUGUUCGUUGUUAGAAUAAAAUUCAAGGAACUUCUGAAAGAGUUGCCUUCAACUGCAAUUAUAUUGUAUGCUGGCGAAACAAAACUAUCCAUAGCCGCUGUAUGUUUAUGUACCUGUCCUGAUUGAUUCAGGGACCUGUCGUUCAGCAGUUGUCGUUUGUUGAUGUGGUGCAUUGGUAUUUUCCCGUUUCGGCGUUUGGAUAUAUAAAUUAGAUCGUUGGUUUUCCUGUUCGAAUUGUGUACACUAAUGAUUU
rnacentral:lncRNA from 1 species